GUUGUGGUGGCUCAGUGGGUAAAGCUUUGUGUUACAGAUGUGAAAGUCAUGGGUGCAAAUCCCACCACUGACA